UUGAUUAUGAAAAAUGAAUACACUAAAAUUGUAGUCUUUUAUGAGAUUAAUAAUUGUGAAUUAGCAUAAAGUGUUUUCUCUAAAUUAUUGGUUUUAGAAUGCUAACAGACCCUCGACCUCUCAAGCAGCUAGAGUAGAAAUUCAAGAAAGAAAUGGUAAACGGCAUCAAGAUGAUGAGCCUGUGAAUUCUCAGUAUUUCCAAACUACAUCUACAAAUUUAAGUCUGAGCAAUAAAAUAAGAAUUCUUCAAGGCCCACACGCUAAUCCAGUUGCUGUACCUCAACCAGGAGCUUCUGUACAAACAAAGGGAAUUAAACCAGGCAUGCCAAGCAUCUUCAACCGUCGAGCAAAUAUAAAUGCUAAUCUGCAAGGGAAAGCCAGAAAAACUAUAAGUGAUAGGUGGGAGAGUCAGCUGUGGAGAGAGAAAAAGUUUGGCUUAAUAGAUCACCUACACUACAGCCGUGUUUAUCCUGAAAGUAUUCCACGGAAAUUUAUGUUUGAACACAGAAAGUUUCUUAGUGACCAGUAUAAUUCUCAGCCUGCGAAAUAUGUACCACCAGAAGGAAGGCCCCCAAAACUUGAUGAUUUUAAGAGCGCCCGAAGCCUUGGACAUUUUGAAGUAACCAUACUAGGUCUGAACCAUGAGAUAGCAAUCGAUGUUGCUUUCCUACCCAUGUAUUGU
rnacentral:sRNA from 1 species